AAAUUGACUAGAUCCAGAGACAAACCCCUUCACAGUGUUUUGGACUUAACAAAAUCUGGUUAACCAUGUCGAGUAUAUUGUCUUCUCAAUACUUACCAGCAUGAUGCCUCUGAUAAUCUCGUCCUUGUAGUAUUCAGGUUCCGGUU